UGUUUCAUACUUGACCUUACAAAUAAAACAAAUUUAAGAUAUGAAAAAAAUGUAUCUUCAUAUAACGGAAAAAAGACACUUAACAAAACAGAAAGAAGAAUAGAUCUAGAAUCACCAGAGCACUUGAAUACUAAAGACUGGAAAUGCCUAGCACUGCCUUCAGAUUCUACGAUACACCAGUUGCGUUGAAUUUGUGGUCGUCAGAUGACUAUAUUAAUGAAACCCAACUCUAUCGAACGUUGCAUAUUCUGCGUGCGCGGAGGUGGUAUAAGAUGACGGCUGGCUCGCACGAUUUCGUCCCGACGGCGCAUCGUUCAAGUAAAUGCCUUAUCACCUGUCCAUAGUAGGUUACGCUACUACUGUCAUAAUGGGUGACAGGGUUCGAUUCCGGAAAGGGAACCUGAGAAACGCGUACCACAUCCAAGGAAGGCAGCAGGUGCACAAAUUCUAAACUCCCAGAACGGCGACGUAGUGACGAAA
rnacentral:ncRNA from 1 species